GAUACUAAUGAUGGCUGCAAUUAAAAAAUAUAUACUGAUCUAAGACAUCGUUGGGCAAUCCAAAACCGUUACCUAUGUAAUAACAGGAAAUAAAUUUAACAAUUCAUCGAAUUAAUAAUUAUGAUAUGAUAGCAUAAGAGAGACAGAUUUUGCAAAAUUAACGCACCCACAAACGCCUUGUCAUUGUUUUUUUGGACAUCUAUAAGACUGAUUGAAAUUUCUCGUUGUAGGAUUGACUGUUCUUGUUCAAUUAAUAAACAUACAGAUACCCAUCAACUGAAUGCAUGAUCUUAUCAUAAACUACUCACCUGUUAGCUCCAUUCCUUAUUAGAUUAUCAUCAAAAGUACAUGUUUCCUUAAUGCGAAACAAAUCAGCGUUGAUGCAGUAAUUGAGUUAUUGUGUAUUAUUGUGACUCGCAGAAAUAUAACAGACUGUUAUACAGGAUAUACCGGAUUUACAGUGGUAUCAAUUUAUUUAUCAAAAGAGUAGAAAGGUCUGAUUGGGUUCUUAGCUGAGGUUCGCAGACGAACUUUUUGUUUUCAUAUUUAAGACAUUACGUGACAUUGACAAUGAAUGCCAAGAGUCUUGAUUUAAGUACAACAAUACAGAACGUUGAGAAAAUGUAGCUUUUUUAACAAAUAAGUUUUUCAAUCGAAAAAGUGGUUUCACAAAAUGCCUUCCAGCAGGAUUUCUGUCGACAAAAUAAAAAAACUGAAAAGCGAUGGCCACUUAAAGGAACUAACAAAUUAAAUUACAUAGAAGUAUCUAUCCAAAAUUACAAAAUUAAUUCGUAAAGCAUAAUCAGCGAUAUCAUGUAUAAAACAGACCAAUGCAUAAUUUCCGGAGGAAGGUAAUAUGCCUUAUCUUAGUUAAAUAAAAUCCAGAUUUCAGAAAAAACAUAUCAAGAUGGCUAUAAGAACCAGAAAUCGGUAACAAAAUAAUCCAGAAAAUCAGACUUAAGUACACGAUACCAAUUUGUUCUGGAAUUCAUCCAAAACCUUCUUCAAAAUGAAGUUUUCUAAGCCAAGUGAGUUUGUUCGAGAAUUGGGCCUCAAAAAGAAUAAAGGGAAAGUAAUAACAAGUACUUACAUACCUCAAGCACAAAGCCGACCAAGUAAAAGUGAGAGUAAUCUAUUAACUAAAUUCAAUGUUUUUGAUAAGAAAAGGCUGACUGUAGAAAAGGCAAAAUCUCAUUUAGAUAUUGUCAAUACUCCAGAAAAUCUUGCGGAUAGCUUUUUAGGCACUACACAAACGGGAAGACCUCAUACUCCUAUAGUCUAUGAUAACAGGAUUACACAAUUAGCCACACUUAGGGUAAAAAUAUUCGGACCCUUGGAUAGAUUAUUAGAAAAGUUUAAAUUAUUUUUAUUUAGUCGCAGAAAAAAUGCUCGAAUUAAUACUGAUAAAUAUUGGUUCAAGAACACACGGGAGUUUAAAGAAUCGUAUAGAAAUGCCACAGCGAGUAAAACAUUUAUUUUAAAGGGUAGACCCAGGAAGAUUUCCUUCCCAGACCCAGUUCCAAAGGUGGUGUUAUUCAGCUUACGAUAUCCUUCUCCCUACCCGUAUAUUUACCACAGGGUAUUUUAUAAAUAUGUUAAAGAUAAGAAUGAUGAAAACAAGAAAAAUAAAAAGAUAGAAGAGAAAAAAGAAUCAGAGGAAUAAGACGUCCAGUGACAAGGCAAGUUUUGUUAUUUAUUUAUAUCUAGAAGUCAUACUAUGUUUGGUAUGUGUGCUGUACAAGAAAAAAUAGAAGUUUUACUUUCUUUUAAACAGGAAAUACGUUUUCAUAAAGUUAAUAAAGUACUUUCAUAAAGAAAAGUGUUAUUAAUUAAUUGUUCAUACUCUGUUUUUCAACGCACCCUAAGGAAUCAAAUGCCUGUGGUUUUUUAUGAGCAAUUUCGACAAACUGUAUGCUUAUUCCGGUUGUAAUAACAGUUUAUGAUGGAUAUUUUUCAACCAGAAACGUAACUUUUCACACUGUUGGAUUAUUUACAUAAUCUAUAAGAAAUCUAGAUCAAUUUCAUAACCUAUUAUAACAAUCAGGACACGACUCCUUAAGUAGCAUUUGCCGAUCAAUCAGAUAUUAAACUGGAAUAUAAGUAGGAAAUUUAAAUCAUUUUAUAUUUCUUUGUUGUUUUCUGUUGCUCUUACUAGUCUCUGGUAACUUUAAUUGAAAUUGUCAUGAAAAUGCAAUCAUAAUAAUGAUAAGCCGAGAUGUGAACGUAUGUUUAAGUAAUAUAGUAAAUAUUCAUUACUUUCCCUAUUGCUAUAUUUUUUUUUGUUAUUUUUUGUAAUGAAAAAUAAAUGUUGAGAUAUGAAUGGCAGUCAUAUCAGCGUAUUCAUGUAUUGACUUUUAGAUGAGCGUAGCACUAACAUACAGCGCUCCUCAAAGAAAAUGCAUCUCUCGAAGACCAGGCUCAUACACUGAUGACUCCGGCAGAAUAGUUCUAAAACAUAAAAACACAAAUAACAUUGGAAAUACCCGAAAUAACAAUAAUCAAGGGAAUAACAAAAAUCGUGAGAAUAAAAACAACAAUGGGAAUAAAAAUUUCAUGACCCUUGAUAGGCUAUCACGAUUACAAAGUUCGCCAACCAUCCGUCCAAGAAAAAGGUGUUGCCCGUAUGAUUUCGAUAGCGAAAAGUGUAUAUUCGUGAAUGACAGGAAGGUGUGUGGGUACGAUUUGAACGGUGGAGGUCCAGAGGCGAACCCUGCAGAACUCACUUUAGAUGUGGGCAACGGUUGCUUGUUUCGCCGUGGUCGACUCGAGUGUGGGUACAUGGAGGCGCCUUUUGAAGGUAUCCGUAGACCGCCCGUAUACGACAGGACAGGAGCUCCUGACCAAGAAAGUGACAAUGAGAAAGAUAAUACUGAUCAAACAUACGACGAUCAAGAUAAUGAUGUUAUGGAGAAACUUCUAUAUUCACGUCCUGCGAAACCAAAAACAAAAACAACUCUGCCAAGCUGCGUACAGAUAAGGAAAAAGAUUGUGUGUAGUACGAAUAAAUUGUAGAUAUUA